CUGGUUGAUCCUGCCAGUAGUCAUACGCUUGUCUUAAAGAUUAAGCCAUGCAUGUCUAAGUGCAGUGUACUCUUACACACUAGACUUGCGGACGGCUCAUUAUAACAGUUAUAGUUAUUUGAUUGGUUUUUUUUCCGUGGAUAACCGUGGUAAUUCUAGAGCUAAUACAUGCUAAUAUCGCUGCCGUUUACGCUGGCGAGCAUUUAUUAGAUACCAGAAUCAGCGGGCUUCGGCUCUGCUUGAGGACUCAUAAUAACUGCUGAGAUCGGACAUUGUCCGGCGUAUCAUUCAAGUUUCUGACCUAUCAGUUAGUCGGUAGUGUAAUUGGACUACCGAGGCAUUGACGGGUAACGGAGAAUUAGGGAGUUCGAUUCCGGAGAGGGAGCCUGAGAAACGGCUACCACAUCUAAGGAAGGCAGCAGGCGCCGUAAAUUACCCAAUCCUGACUCAGGGA
rnacentral:rRNA from 1 species